AGAGGAAGUCCGGUGCGAAUCCGGCGCGGUCCCGCCACUGUCACCGGGUGCGCACGCCGCGCGUGCGUCCCGGGAGCCAGGAACUC
rnacentral:ncRNA from 2 species